GGGGCUGUAGUGUAACUUGGUUAUCACUGGACGUUCGGGGCGUUCCAAUUUGGGUUCGAAUCCCAGCAGCCCCA
rnacentral:tRNA from 1 species